rnacentral:tRNA from 2 species
AGACCUAUGGUGUAACGGUAGCACAUCUGAUUUUGGUUCAGCCUGUUAAGGUUCGAAUCCUUAUAGGUCUA